AACGACAGUUACUGUUCUUUGGGAGGGGGAGAGACAUUUUCUUCAGUGCUGUAGCCCCUGAGUUAACUGCCCUUGGCCCUGUGAAUGAUUCCUCCCCCAUGCUUCUGCUUCCAUGCUGAAGUAGAUCACUGCAGUCCCAUGGUCGUCUCCAGUCUGCAGUAGAUCCGGGUCUUCUCUUCCCUCCCACACCUUUAGCACUUUAGAGGAAGUUCUGGCCUGGGGUCCCAUGGAAUUCCAUCCCAGAUGAGCAUGCUUGGCAGUUUCUCAGAUUGAGUUGCAGCGUCAUCGGGUUUGGGGCGAGCAAAGCAGGCGCGAGGCCUCCCCCUAUUUCACACCCAGAGCACGUGGAACGCUCAACUGACUUUCCGGUGGUCUCCGCCGCCACCUCUUAGUUCAAUGUUUCUGCUGGCAGGUCCCAGACUGUUCAAUGCCUCUCUCUGAACUGGGAAUGAAGAGUUGAGGACCACUGGAUGCUGUGAAGCACCUUUUAGAAGGCUAAGCCUCAGAAGAACAAGAUCGGAAAGCAAAACAGGCUCUGGCCAUAAUGUAUCACUUUGGGCCUCAGGCAAUGGAAGGAGUGGAGUGUGGCCUGAAGCUUCCAAAAUUGUGAUCCCAACGUAACCUUCUCUGCCAAGAAGCUGCGCUUGGGCAUUUGUGAGUGAUGGUAGGCGAACUGACAUGCUUGUCUCCUGGGAGGAAGGCCCAUAAAGUGAUUCCCUAGGGCCAGAGACAUCCUAGCCUCAAACACUACUGAGAAAUGCUAAGACGCCUGAAGCCCACAGCAGACCUCCCAGAAAGGAAAGUUUGUGAAGCGCCAUUCAAACAUGAGCCCUACAGGUCCUCCUGCCACCCGCCUCUUUCCCACUUUCAUCUCAUCUGGGAAGGAUCAACUGCAGGAGGUGGAUGAGAAAGGAAGCAGCAAGGUCUGCUCAAGUCCAGCUCACCUGACAUACCCUGCUGUCCAACCCCACGUGUGCUGCUGUGGAUGCUGGGAGCAGCUGCAGCGUCACAGAGGAAAUCCCCUUUGACUUGGGAUCCAGUGAGACAUCACCUGAUUACAUAGGCUCCAUAAUACUCCCUCAGGACAGGAGAACCAGAGAUGAGAUGUCAGGAGGAGAUCCCCUGAGAAGCUGUCACUGGACCCUAUCAUCAGUGAGCACUGGCCGCAGCCAGGCGGCCCCCAACAGCCUCCGACACCACCAGACGAAGGGGCUGAAAGGAGGUGGGGGUGCAGAUUGUUCGCUUGUUUCCCACUCUAUGUUGUUGCCUCUCUAUCUCAGAGGAAAACAGCACAUUUCCCAGGGGUGAAAACAGGCCCAGCUCUGUGGUCGUCAAACCACAGGGCUGGGGUUGGCCUGGUAUGGACCAAGAGUGACAGGAAGGAGCCAGGCCGGAAUUCCAGGAGCCUGUCUGCUCAAACACCUGUUGGCAUCCAGACAACCCUGGGAGCCAGGCACAAGCUCGCCUUCCUCUCCUCUAGCUGCUGGAUCUGAGCUAAUAGCACCUUCACUCUUUAGUUCAACAUGAAGCCAGUACUGUCCUCUGGGGGAUGUGAUCCACAUGGCUUCCACCUUAUGAAGCUUCAUCCCUCCAGUCUCUGUAAGAUAUUGGGAUGGAACGCCCACAGUGAGAGAACUGAGUGUCCCACUGGACUCAGGGGCUUCACCAGUUCGCCCCUCCCUCAUCCUCACCAACUUUAUCACUGACCAGCGCAGAGACUGUGCCUCCUUCCUGCAAGCACCAAAGGUGCUGGUCCCUAGCCCCAGGAUUCCAGAAACUGGCGGAAUUUUUCCUGUCCCGUGGAGGGAUAUCUUGACUUAUAUUUUGACUAUACGUUUGAGAUUUUUCUGCUACACUGAGGCAAGCUUCUCCAGAACACUGUGGAAGGGUUUGAGAAUAUGUCCCCAGCUGAUCCCUGCAAAGUCGAUGCAGAGCUGCAGCUGCGCCUACCCCUGGACAACAUGGCUGGGGGGAAGGGCAGUGUCUCUCUACUUCGUCCCAGGUCACUGCUGAUGUGAAGAUGAGGGACUUGGGAAUAUCCACUUGGACAAUCUCUCCUUGGCCUUAAAGGGCUGGUCUGCCCUGAAAGAGUCACAGCUCAGAGAGGCUGCUCUUGAGAUCACAAGUUCUAACGAAACAUAGAGAACUCCAUAGCUGUCACAUGCUUCUGCGUGGCUACCUGGAUGGCUUAGAAGACACUGUAAUUGAACCCCAAGGGCUCUCGUGUCUGUGACUGAAAAGACAAAUCAUGCAGAUGAUGCAUAAAGAGAUGAGAAAGAUUUAAUACCCUCAGCAGGGAUAAAGACAGUUCUGAAACCUCAUUUUUGAUGGCUGCUGUUAACCUAAACAACUCUCAUCCCCCAAGAAGAGGGCCUGACCUCAGGGAUGGUGCUGCUCAUGGCUCCUUCGUCUUCAGAGACGCAGCAGGGACGCUGCUACUGUGUGACAGUGCAUGGCUGUUUCCAUGUGCUGCUUCGCCUUUGUCUGCAAGGAUCUGUCUCCCCACUUGCAGAGCACAGAGGUGUCCAGGUGGCACUAACUGUCCCCACCCCUUCUCCAGGCUCCUUUCUGCUGUUCCAGGACAGCCUGCCCUGUGCUGGUAUAUGUUCUGUCAGGCUUCAAGCUCCUUCCCACCCUGGGCUGCCCACAAACACAGUGGAAAACACAGCUCAGCCUUGUAAGCCUUUUAAGAGCCAGACCCUCUCCAUUUGCUGAGUAAACUUGCCCAGGGUUAAAAUACCCCUUGCCCUAGGAAUAAAGACAACAUAAAGUGAAAACAUGGAGUGUUCAGGUCCUCGGUGGGUCUCCUCCAGGUCUUCUGUGGGCCACUGUAAUCUGCUGCAGCAUGCACACAGCUUAGUGACCCUUCCCACAGUGUUCUCCGCUGCUGUCUUCCCAAAGCCUAAUGAGGAAUGGCUAUAGCUUCAGCCACAGAGCACGGCUAUCUUUCUUGUACCUUUGGAAGUGCAAAUGAGAGGUAGCGGUUCAUUAGGUAGACGCCUGCUGAUCGGUGUGCUGUGCAGGUCAUCUCAGGGUUAGACACAUUAGAGAUUGGGUCAUGGAUGGAAACCUCCAACAAUCGGGGACCAAAUAACUCUUCUGUGGUCACAAACUGAAUACCUCUGAAUUAUUCAUCUAGGGAAGGCUAACUGACAUAUGUGUCUCCUUAGAAGAAGGCAUUCCUCCAAACAGCCGGGGGAAGAGACUCGGGGUGGUAGAAAUGCAGAGAUGAUGUAGCAGUGCAGAGAGGCCCAGGUUUUCAGCUUUCACAGGACUGGGUGGGCCUUCUGGUGGUAAAAAUGUCUAUUUUCUUGAAGUCAUUGCUGUACUUUGUAUGUAACCCCACAUCAAUAUUCCCGACAGCGACCCCAAUAAAACUUCGUUGCCUCACC
rnacentral:lncRNA from 1 species